GGGUGUGUAGCCCCGUACGGCGCGGGAAUGGUCUGUAAAACCAUCGCUCUCUGAGCCCAGGUGGUUCAACUCCACUCACACCCA
rnacentral:tRNA from 1 species